rnacentral:rRNA from 1 species
GACGAACGCUGGCGGCGUGCUUAACACAUGCAAGUCGAACGGAAAGGCCCUUCUUUUGUGGGGUGCUCGAGUGGCGAACGGGUGAGUAACACGUUAGUACCCUGCCCUUUACUUUGGGAUAACUUCAGGAAACUGGGGCUAAUACCGGCUAGGAGCUCCUGCUGCAUGGUGGGGGUUGGAAAGUUUCGGCGGUUGGGGAUGGACUCGCGGCUUAUCAGCUUGUUGGUGGGGUAGUGGCUUACCAAGGCUUUGACGGGUAGCCGGCCUGAGAGGGUGACCGGCCACAUUGGGACUGAGAUACGGCCCAGACUCCUACGGGAGGCAGCAGUGGGGAAUAUUGCACAAUGGGCGGAAGCCUGAUGCAGCAACGCCGCGUGCGGGAUGACGGCCUUAGGGUUGUAAACCGCUUUCGCCUGUGACGAAGCGUGAGUGACGGUAAUGGGUAAAGAAGCACCGGCUAACUACGUG